ensembl:snRNA U6 U6 spliceosomal RNA
GCUUGCUUCAGCAAUGCGUAUGCUAAAACUGGAACGAUGCAGAGAAGAUUAGCAUGGACCCUCCAAAUUUGUGAAGCAUUCUAUAUGAAAAACAGAGAAAAAGAAU